UACGGAGGGUGCAAGCGUUGCUCGGAAUCACUGGGCGUAAAGGGUGCGUAGGCGGGUCUUUAAGUCAGGGGUGAAAUCCUGGAGCUCAACUCCAGAACUGCCUUUGAUACUGAAGAUCUUGAGUUCGGGAGAGGUGAGUGGAACUGCGAGUGUAGAGGUGAAAUUCGUAGAUAUUCGCAAGAACACCAGUGGCGAAGGCGGCUCAGUGGCCCGAUACUGACGCUGAGGCACGAAAGCGUGGGGAGCAAACAGG
rnacentral:rRNA from 1 species